CAACUGGCCUUGGAGCGGGCGACGCAGUGAAAGGUGCCGGGAGCGACGACGGCGGCGCGUGAAGGCGAUCCCACACUUGGCCACCGAGCGGCGCGCACGACACUCAUACUUACGCAUAGCACAUUGUAUUCAUUGUUUACCUAUUGUUGUGGCUUCGUUUAUUGAAAUUAUAAUAACUUUAAUACAGUCCACUCGCGUUAUUAUUCAAGACCUGAGGCUCAAACAUUGGUCCUUCUACCGUGAAAGAAGCACAGAAGAAACCUACAAGCCAUCGUGACAACUUGGUUGAACUUUGGACUCGACGUGUCGACCGCUGUGACAAGUCAUCGUUCUCAUCAAUUUAUGGACGGAAGGUUAAAGACAUCCAUGGAGAUCGAGUCGACCUCGGACGCGGCUGAUGAUGAAUAUGCGGAGCGAGCCCAGUUCGAGGAGCGUUACUACUCCCUGCUGGCUCGAGCGCGCAAGGCAUUGGCUGUGUGCUCUGCUGAGCGUGCUCGCUCGGAGGCGGGUUCUGAUGCGGGCUCCAAAUCAGGUGCAUCGUUUAAAAAUAAUUUUGUGCGCUUACCUAAAAUUGAUUUGCCACACUUUAAUGGUAGCUAUGAGUAUUGGUUAGAGUUUAGAGACACCUUCUGCUCAUUAAUUCAUAACAGCGAUUGCAUCGAUGACAUCAACAAGUUCCACUACCUCCGUGCGUCACUUGAAGGCCAAGCAUCGGAGAUAAUAAAAAAUAUAGACUUUAAGGGUGAUAAUUACGCAAUGGCUUGGGACUUGUUGUGUGAACGAUACAAUAACAGUAGACUCUUAGUAAAUAACCAUGUACAGGCUUUGUUUGAUGUAGAAACGCUGACUAAAGAAUCAUCUUUAUUGUUGCGCCAGCUUAUUGACACUGUUAACAAAAACAUACGGGCACUUAAAACAUUAAAGGAACCUACUGAGCACUGGGAUACUCUCAUUAUAUUUAUGAUAUCUAGAAAGCUUGAUUUCACUACUAGUAGGCAUUGGGAGGAGUAUCGCAAUACUUUGUCGGGUUCUCCAACUCUAACGCAGUUUUGUACUUUCAUAUCUAACAGAGCUGAUUUAUUAGAAACUUUAGAAAAUAAUCAAGCUAAAUUAAACACACAAAAUAAUAACACUAAACAAAAAAGCUUUAUUGUAACUAAUAUUGGGGAACAUACAAGCAAUAAUAACUUACAAAAUAAAAAUCUACAAAAUAAUAAUUUACAAAAUAACACUAACCUAAAUAACAAAAUAUCAAAAUGUCCUUUAUGCUCAAAUGAUCAUUUGCUUUAUACUUGCGAGUCAUUUAGAGUUUUAUCUGUUGAAUCACGAUUACAAAAGGCAAAAGAAUUUAAAGUCUGUCUAAAUUGUUUACGCUCAAGUCAUACCACCCAAAAAUGUAGAUUGUCAGGUUGUAAAUAUUGCAAGGCCAGACACAAUACGCUUUUGCACAUUGAGCCGACUGAGCAGACAUAUCAAGACCCCAUGCCAUCUACUUCUACUAGUGUUGCUUUAUCUGCAGAUACAACAAAACAGCCUACUAGUGCACCCAAUGUUUUGCUGUCCACAGCUAUUGUGAAGGUGGUGAGCCACAACGGCGAAAAGCUCAACGCUCGGGUACUGCUCGACAACGGCAGCACGGCGAACUUCAUUACCGAGAGCCUCUGCACAAAACUGGGUUUGUCACGACGCAAUGCAGCCUCCACUGUGACAGAUACCUGAGAAGAACAUCAGCUGCUUUGACCGAUUCAAGAGGAUUGAAUACAUCCGACAGCACUUCUGGCAGAGAUUUUCUCAUGAGUACAUUUCCUUGCUUCAGCAAAAAACCAAGUGGUCCACUUCUUCUGGCCAGCUCACUGAAGGAAUGCUCGUACUUCUUCGGGACAAGGCGCUACCACCGUUAGUUUGGGCCUUGGGUCGCGUGGUGCGCACCUAUCCUGGACCCGACGGCGUUACCAGAGUCGCCGAACUAAAGACGAGGAGAGGCAACGUCACAAGAGGGUUCAACAACAUUUGCCCUCUUCCCUUUGAAGAGGUCAAGGGGCGGGAGGAUGUUCGCGCCCGGGCAACUGGCCUUGGAGCGGGCGACGCAGUGAAAGGUGCCGGGAGCGACGACGGCGGCGCGUGAAGGCGAUCCCACACUUGGCCACCGAGCGGCGCGCACGACACUCAUACUUACGCAUAGCACAUUGUAUUCAUUGUUUACCUAUUGUUGUGGCUUCGUUUAUUGAAAUUAUAAUAACUUUAAUACAGUCCACUCGCGUUAUUAUUCAAGACCUG